GUUGAACGCUGGCGGCAUGCCUCACACAUGCAAGUCGAACGGUAACGCGGGGCAACCUGGCGACGAGUGGCGAACGGGUGAGUAAUGCAUCGGAACGUGCCCAGUUGUGGGGGAUAACUGCUCGAAAGAGCAGCUAAUACCGCAUACGACCUGAGGGUGAAAGCGGGGGAUCGCAAGACCUCGCGCAAUUGGAGCGGCCGAUGUCGGAUUAGCUAGUUGGUGGGGUAAAGGCCCACCAAGGCGACGAUCCGUAGCUGGUCUGAGAGGACGACCAGCCACACUGGGACUGAGACACGGCCCAGACUCCUACGGGAGGCAGCAGUGGGGAAUUUAGGACAAUGGACGCAAGUCUGAUCCAGCCAUGCCGCGUGCGGGAAGAAGGCCUUCGGGUUGUAAACCGCUUUUGUCAGGGAAGAAAUCUUCUGGGUUAAUACCUCGGGAGGAUGACGGUACCUGAAGAAUAAGCACCGGCUAACUACGUGCCAGCCGCCGCAGUAAAAC
rnacentral:rRNA from 1 species